GAUGAACGCUGGCGGCGUGCUUAACACAUGCAAGUCGAACGGAAGGGCCCUGAGUUUGUGGGGUGCUCGAGUGGCGAACGGGUGAGUAACACGUGAGUAACCUGCCCUUGACAUUGGGGUAACUUCAGGAAACUGGGGCUAAUACCGGAGAGGAGCUCCUGCUGCAUGGUGGGGGUUGGAAAGUGUCGGCGGUGGGGGAUGGAAUCGAGGGUUAUGAGCUUGUUGGUGUGGUAGUUGCUUACCAAGGCUUUGACGGCUAGCCGGCCUGAGAGGGUUGCCGGCCACAUUGGGACUGAGGUACGGCGCAGACGCGUAUGGGACGCAGCAGUGGAAAAUAUUGCACAGUGGGCGGAAGCGUGAUGUAGAGGCGCCGCGUGCGGAAUGACCUCCUACGGGUUGUAAACCGCUUUCGCCUGUAACGAAGCGUGAGUGACGGUACUGGGUCAGGAAGCACCGGCUAACUACGUG
rnacentral:rRNA from 1 species